rnacentral:tRNA from 1 species
GUCAGAAUGGCCGAGCGGUCUAAGGCGCCAGACUCAAGGUUAUGCCCCUUCUCCAAAACAGAGAGAUUCUGGUCUCCGAAUGGAGGCGUGGUUCAAAUCCCACUUCUGACA